rnacentral:rRNA from 1 species
GACGAACGCUGGCGGCGUGCUUAACACAUGCAAGUCGAACGGAAAGACCCUGCUUUUGUGGGGUGCUCGAGUGGCGAACGGGUGAGUAACACGUGAGUAACCUGCCCUUGACUUUGGGAUAACUUCAGGAAACUGGGGCUAAUACCGGAUAGGAGCUCCUGCUGCAUGGUGGGGGUUGGAAAGUUUCGGCGGUUGGGGAUGGACUCGCGGCUUAUCAGCUUGUUGGUGGGGUAGUGGCUUACCAAGGCUUUGACGGGUAGCCGGCCUGAGAGGGUGACCGGCCACAUUGGGACUGAGAUACGGCCCAGACUCCUACGGGAGGCAGCAGUGGGGAAUAUUGCACAAUGGGCGGAAGCCUGAUGCAGCAACGCCGCGUGCGGGAGGACGGCCUUCGGGUUGUAAACCGCUUUCGCCUGUGACGAAGCGUGAGUGACGGGAAUGGGUAAAGAAGCACCGGCUAACUACGU